GAUGAAGAACGUAGCGAAAUGCGAUAAGUAAUGUGAAUUGCAGAAUUCAGUGAAUCAUCGAAUCUUUGAACGCACAUUGCGCCCCCUGGUAUUCCGGGGGGCAUGCCUGUUCGAGCGUCAUUUCACCACUCAAGCCUCGCUUGGUAUUGGGCAACGCGGUCCGCCGCGUGCCUCAAAUCGACCGGCUGGGUCUUCUGUCCCCUAAGCGUUGUGGAAACUAUUCGCUAAAGGGUGUUCGGGAGGCUACGCCGUAAAACAACCCCAUUUCUAAGGUUGACCUCGGAUCAGGUAGGGAUACCCGCUGAACUUAAGCAUAUCAGCGGAGGA
rnacentral:misc_RNA from 1 species